GAUGAACGCUGGCGGCGUGCCUAAUACAUGCAAGUCGAGCGAACGGACGAGAAGCUUGCUUCUCUGAUGUUAGCGGCGGACGGGUGAGUAACACGUGGAUAACCUACCUAUAAGACUGGGAUAACUUCGGGAAACCGGAGCUAAUACCGGAUAAUAUUUUGAACCGCAUGGUUCAAAAGUGAAAGACGGUCUUGCUGUCACUUAUAGAUGGAUCCGCGCUGCAUUAGCUAGUUGGUAAGGUAACGGCUUACCAAGGCAACGAUGCAUAGCCGACCUGAGAGGGGGAUCGGCCACACUGAAACUGAGACACGGUCCAGACUCCUACGGGAGGCAGCAGUAGGGAAUCUUCCGCAAUGGGCGAAAGCCUGACGAAGCAACGCCGCGUGGGUGAUGAAGGUCUUCGGAUCGUAAAACUCUGUUAUUAGGGAAGAACAUAUGUGUAAGUAACUGUGCACAUCUGGACGGUACCUAAUCAGAAGGCCACGGCAAACUACGU
rnacentral:rRNA from 1 species